rnacentral:rRNA from 1 species
UGGGGAAUAUUGGACAAUGGGCGAAAGCCUGAUCCAGCCAUGCCGCGUGAGUGAUGAAGGCCUUAGGGUUGUAAAGCUCUUUUAGCAGGGAAGAUAAUGACGGUACCUGCAGAAAAAGCCCCGGCUAACUUCGUGCCAGCAGCCGCGGUAAUACGAAGGGGGCUAGCGUUGCUCGGAAUUACUGGGCGUAAAGCGCACGUAGGCGGACUCUUAAGUCGGUGGUGAAAUCCUGGAGCUCAACGCCAGAACUGCCUCCGAUACUGGGAGUCUUGAGUUCGGGGGAGGUGAGUGGAACUGCGAGUGUAGAGGUGAAAUUCGUAGAUAUUCGCAAGAACACCAGUGGCGAAGGCGGCUCACUGGCCCGAUACUGACGCUGAGGUGCGAAAGCGUGGGGAGCAAAC